GUAGUCUCGCACAGAUGCAUAUCAAUAAGCGGAGGAAAAGAAACUAACAAGGGAUUCCCCUAGUAACGGCGAGUGAAGCGGGAAGAGCUCAAAUUUGAAAUCUUAAAGGGUUUCCCUUUACGAAUUGUAGUUUAAAGAAGUGUUUUCUGUUGAGGUUUUGGUAAAAGUUCUUUGGAAUAGGACAUCAUAGAGGGUGAGAAUCCCGUAUUUGACCUUUACUUUCAACUUUGUGAUACACUUUCAAAGAGUCGGAUUGUUUGGGAAUGCAGUCCAAAAUGGGUGGUAAAUUUCAUCUAAAGCUAAAUAUUGGCGAGAGACCGAUAGCGAACAAGUACCGUGAGGGAAAGAUGAAAAGAACUUUGAAAAGAGAGUUAAACAGUACGUGAAAUUGUCAAAAGGGAAGCGUUUGACACCAGUGUUGUUUUUCUGAAAAUCAAUUAAAGAACUGUUUAUGCUAAGCUGUUUAGACUUUAUCAGCUAUCUGUUUAGUUUUGAGCUUUUCUUUAAUGCACUUUUCAGUUAACAAGUCAACAUCAAUUUCUUUUGCUGUAAAAAAGCUUGAGGAAGGUGGCUUGAGAUUCGUCUUAAGUGUUUAUAGCCUCUUGCCUAUGCAGUCGGAGAGAUUGAGGUCUGCAGCGUAGAUCCUUCGGGGCUAAAUGCAUUUGUGCUAAGUUAUAGCAUUUUAUAGACAACUUGUUGACUAUGACUUGUCUUGUAGCUUACUCGCUUAUGUUAUUUUACCUACGCUUAGGAUGUUGACGCAUGAGAUAUACGC
rnacentral:rRNA from 1 species